AUGCUUCAUUUCUUUUUAGUGCUGAAUAAUAUUCCUUUGUUUGGACGUACCGUGGUUUAUUUACCCACUCACCUACUGAAGGACAUUUCAAUUGCUUCCAAGUUUUGGCAAUUAUGAAUAAGUUGUCUAUAAAUAUCAGUGUGCAUGUUUUGUGUGGACAUAAGUUUUCAACUCCUUUAGGAUGUAGUCAGAAGGCAGCCAUCUAUCUACAAGCCAAGAAGAGAGGCCUCACGGGGAACCAAGUUGGUUAGCACCUUCAUCUUGGGCUUCCCAGCCUCUAGAUGGCUGAACAUGACAGAUCCAAGCAUCUGGACUGAGAAAGGAAAGGGGUUUCCUCAGAGGAAAUUCCAGGUAUCAUUACUGGAAGGGUGAUUGGAAGCAGACAGCAAAACAAACAUCCAUCAUAAGUUCUCCCUCUCUCUGGGCAGAAGAAAUAGUUUCCUGGCUCAGAGGGUUCAGGUGUCAGGACAGCCUUUCUGGAUAUAUGAUUGGAUCACUCCUUUUGUGUAUAAGGGGGGAAAAUAGGAGAGGAAAAGAAUAGAAACCUGAUAGGGUAGCCACAGUCUAAAUAUUCCAUGAUUUGAGGGCUUGAUUUUUUCUUUUUAAGAUUUUUAAAAGAUAUCUUUAAAAGAUAAUUAAACAGUUAAAAAAUGUUUAUUUAUUUUUAAGAGAGAGAGAGAGAGAGGCAGGAGAGAGGGAGACACAGAAUUCAAAGCACAUUCCAGGCUCUGAGCUGUCAGCACAGAGCCUGAUGUGGAGCUCAAACUUACAAAUCAUGAGAUGGUGAUCUGAGCCAAAGUUGGAUGCUUUCUUGACUGAUCCACCCAGGCACCUCUGGGGUUUGCUUUUGACAGGGGGUUCAAGGCAAGCCACCUGAGAAUGUGCCACUUUGGCAUGUGGAUUAUUUCAAGCUUAUGACAAUCAAGGCCCAAAGGACUCAGGAAGAGCUUUAUACCUCUCCCUUAACUGCCUAAAAGAAUUUAGUUAGGGGAUCUGGUCCCAAAGAAGGCUAUCACCAGAGAUAACCUCAAGGUUGGGCUAGGUGUGGUAGACUGGGGUAGGGGGAAGGGGUCUGUUUGGUCAGAUUCCUCUCUGUGUUCUAUUGUCUGUGCAUGGCACAAUAAACUUUUUUUUCCCACCAAACAUUUGCUCUUCCCACCUUCCUGUGAAUUGUCUUCUUUCCCUUUGAAGCUCAAGAUUCCUUCCCCCUUCUCCUUAGCUUAGGAUGGCAUAUAAACCUCAGUUGCUUCACUUUCUUUGAGCCUCAUAGCUUCAGGGUUUCUGGAUGUAGAAAAUUAAAUUUGUUUUUCUCCUAUUAAUCUGUGUUAUGCUAAUUUAAUUAUUAGACCAGCCAAAGAACCUACAAGGGAAGAAAGGGAAAGCUUUCCUCCCCUAUACCUCCCACCAGGGGAACACAGCAAUAUGUUUCUGGCACAAAGGACUGUUGAGAAUGUUGCUCUAAGAAUCCCAGGGCUCAAACUUUAGCUACUUGGGUGAGAAGCUUGUGCUUUUACAAGUUGAGAGCUUGUGGAAGCUCUAAAAAGAAGUAUCUUUACUGGGGAGUAUCUUGUUGAUAUUAGGAGCAUCUUGCUAGGGGUUUGGUGUGAAUUCUAGACUGACCAGCCACUCUUUUUUUUUAAGACACCACUCUUAAAGACCCAUCACUAUUAGGCCACUAGAAGGCUCUUGAAUUUGGUGUGUGAA